UAAAGCCUCUUUCUCUUGUCUUCUUUUAGAGGAAGCCUGUCUCUGAUCAGUUCAUGAAGUAUGUCAGGAUCUACCACGAUUUGUGCCUUGCCAGUGGAAGUUUUACCCAGCUGAUGAAGUAAAAAGUUAAGGAAAGCCUGAGAUUAGCUUUGUGAACUGUGUAAUCCUCAGUGGAGUAUACUGCUAAUGGAAAAGUCAUGGAACCGUGGGAGCAGUCGGAUUGGAAGUGGGGAGCGGGUGACCUCAACGGCAAAGAAGGCAUGUGAGACUGCAUUGUUCUUCUGAUCAAAGUGGACACGUCCCUGAAGAGAACAAUUUCCCGUGAAUCAAUUAAGCCAUAAGCAAGCUCUUAUUGAACAACAGAAAGAACUGUAUUAAGAUCUUCAAGAUCCACAUGCUUGGAUUCUCGGAGGAAAAGUGCUUCCAAUAGUCAAAGGAUACAAGAGGCAUCUUUUGAAGUCAGGAAAAAGAAAAAGAUACUAGACUUUUCACUUUCUAUAUUUAUACCCAUUACAAGGUCACUGGAGACUGAUCCAGGUUAUAUUGUACAUGAUGCUUUCUUAAGUAGACUUUAAAAAUUGUAGAUACUGUAGACUGACAAAUUAGUUAGCCACAUUAAAAUAGGGCAAAAUAUGGCCCACUCUCUCCAGUUUUCUUUAAGUUACUCUCAAAGUUGUCGUUACC